CCGUUACAACGCCGAAAUGACCCUUCUCACCCUUGUGUACUCACUAAUGUUGCUUUGGCGGGUCGACCUGGUUCCGACCCAGGCGGCCGGCGCCCCCAGCCUUAACUGGCCAGGACGCCCGGUAAGUGCCCGCCAGUAUACAAAACUCAAGAAUUCAUUUUGUGAAGUCCUGAUAUAUCAUUUAAUUGAUUAAAACUUUCAACAACGGAUCUCUUGGUUCUGGCAUCGAUGAAGAACGCAGCGAAAUGCGAUAAGUAAUGUGAAUUGCAGAAUUCAGUGAAUCAUCGAAUCUUUGAACGCACAUUGCGCCCUCUGGUAUUCCGGAGGGCAUGCCUGUUCGAGCGUCAUUUCAACCCUCAAGCUCUGCUUGGUAUUGGGCAACGUCCGCUGCCGGACGUGCCUUGAAGACCUCGGCGACGGCGUCCUAGCCUNGAGCGUAGUAGUAAAAUAUCUCGCUUUGGAGUGCUGGGCGACGGCCGCCGGACAAUCGACCUUCGGUCUAUUUUUCCAAGG
rnacentral:rRNA from 1 species